rnacentral:rRNA from 1 species
GAUGAACGCUGGCGGCGUGCCUAAUACAUGCAAGUCGAGCGAACGGACGAGAAGCUUGCUUCUCUGAUGUUAGCGGCGGACGGGUGAGUAACACGUGGAUCACCUACCUAUCAGACUGGUAUAUCUUCGGGACACCGGCGCUAAUCCCGGAUAAUAUUUUGCACCGCAUGGUUCGAUAGUGAAAGACGGUCUUUCUGUCUCUUAUAGAUGGAUCUGCGCUGCAUUAGCUAGUUGGUACGGUAACGGCUUACCAAGGCUACGAUGCAUAGCCGACCUGAGAGACGGAUCGGCCACACGAGAACUGAGACACGGACCAGACGCCUACGAGAGGCAGCAGUAGGGAAUCGUCCGCAAUAGGCGAAAGCCUGACGGAGCAACGCCGCGUGAGUGAUGAAGGUCUUCGGAUCGUAAAACUCUGUUAUGAGGGAAGAACAUAUGUGUAAGUAACUGUGCACAUCGUGACGGUACCUAAUCAGAAAGCCACGGCUAACUACGUG